rnacentral:lncRNA from 10 species
CAUGGCCUCUCAGGGAGGGCCACUGAGAAGAUACCUGAGCAGAGACCUGAAGGAUGAGAGGCUGGAGAUGUCAUUCUCUGGAGGCAGGGUGCCCAGGCUGAGGACGCAGCUAGUCAAAGGUCCCUAGGUGGGAGCAUGCUUGGGGGGUUCUAGGGACGGCAAAGGGGCCAGUGUGGCUGGAGUGGACAGGUGAGGGGGAGGGUGGGAGGAGAGGAGUCAGCAGAGCCUCUGUGUCACCCAGGGGCCUGGGGGGCCUCCUGGGGGCUUUGGUUUUUGCUCUGAGUGACCGUGGUGGUUGUGGGAGUCACUGCAGGACUCAGCAGGAAUUCUGGAUAGUAAGUGGGAGGUGGGGGACCAGUGAGGAGGCUGUCGCCAGAACCCACUGAGACGUGGUGGUGGCUUGGGAACAGAGGGCAGAGCAGGGGAGGCGGGGGAGGCCCCAUCUCAGAUAAGUUGAGUGGGACGUCAGGGAUUUGAUGACCCAAGCCUGGAGUGGAAGAUGUAAACCUGGGGGCCAUUAGCAGUCCAGGGGCAUGAGCCCAGUUCCCCUGGGAGCCACAUCGCUCAUUUGCUUGGCUGUGUGGCUUCUUGUGUGUGCAAAGCUUCAACGCCCCUCCCCUCUAGAGCCUUAGGAGAGGCCCCAGGGGUCAGCUGAGGUGGGGCCGAGCCGAACUAAGGGGCAGUGCCAGCAGUUGAUUCAGGGCACCUGGGUGUUGGCAUCAGACAGACCUUGGCUUGCAUCUUCCUGUGACCUUGGACAAGUUCUUAACCACCCUGAGCCCCAUCGUCUCAUCUGUAAAGUGGAGAUAAUAGGAGUAUCUCCCAGGCGGGCUGCUUGUGAGGGUUGAAUGAGAUGGUGCCUGUGUGGGACUGAGAUGACACACAGCCCCCUUAUUAUUCAUAUUGACCAUGAGCUAUGGUGGCCCCUGGCAGGGCUUAGGAGAGGGGUAUUUACUAUGUGCCUGGUCCCUCUACGGUUGAUAAACUUGAUAAACGGGGAACCUGGAGCUCAUCAAAGAGGCCAAGUGACUUGCCCAAGGCCACAAGGAAAGGGUGAAGCUGUCAUUGGAACUGACUUCUAACCAUGCUCCCCACAGCUUCAAGCUGCCGCUGCACAGGAAGCUCCAGGUAGGCGGAAGGAGUUGGGGUCUGAAGACUGACUCACCUGUCCAGGAACCUCUGCCCAGGGGUGUAAGGACUGCCGUGGUGCAGCCUCAUGGCAUCCCCCAUUCCCCCUGCAACAGGGCCCUGGGUGUUCAUUUCAAUCCGAUUUUUCUUUUCUUUUUUUUUUUUUUUUUGAGAUGGAGUCUUGCUCUGUCACCCAGGCUGGAGUGCAGUGGCGCCAUCUUGGCUCAUGGCAAGCUCCGCCUCCCGGUUCAAGCAUCAGUCCAAUUUUUCUAAAGCAAAUGUUGGCUUCUGGGGAGAAGGUGUGGCCGGACAAUUUCCAGGAGCACAUGGCCCUAGGCAUACUGACCCUUUGAGAUGGCCUUAGUUUGGGCAGGGAUGCUGCAGGUGGUCAAAGCUGGACCUCCCGCCCAAUGGAAGGUGUUGGGUGGCUGGCCCCCAGCUGUGUGGCGUGUGCAUCGCUGGGCCUGAGUGUGUGCGUGUGUGUGUGCAUGUGUGUGUGUGCAUGCGUGUGUGUGCAUGCGUGUGUGUGUGUGUGCGUUGUUGGGGUGGGAGUGGGAAGUCAGACCUGUGUGGCAAAAACCUGAGUCUAGUGGAAGGCCUCCCCUGCCCCUACCCACCCUCCUCCCUGGCCGAGGGGGCUGAACCGUGGCUGGAGGGAGCCACGUCAGGCUGGGAUCUCCGAGGGGUCCUUGAACCACAUCUGAGCUCUGGGAAGGCUCCCCGGUGCAUGGAAAGCAGAGAGGGAGGCUCCGUGGUGAUUUACAGGCACCUCCUUUUGAUCGUCUCGCUCCCUUGGAGAGAUCCCUCCUCCGCACCUGGGGGCUGCAGGGGAGGGGGGGCGCAGGGGGUUCUCAGCUGGCCCAGGGCAGCAGGGUCUGGUGUCCCUGGGAUACAGGAAGCUUCCUUCUCUCUGGCAUGGCCUUGCUGGUACCUGGCUGCUUGUGCAUAUCACUGAGCAACCCAGCUCCUGUCCAGCGGGGCGGGGUCCAGAGCACACCCCUGGCGCUCGGGGCUGGGCCUGCCUCCCCACACCUGGCUCUGCUUCCAUUCUUCCAGGGACAAUGCGACUGUUUCACUGGCCUUGUCUUCU